rnacentral:rRNA from 1 species
CCUACGGGAGGCAGCAGUGAGGAAUAUUGGUCAAUGGGAGAGAUCCUGAACCAGCCAAGCCGCGUGAGGGAAGACGGCCCUAUGGGUUGUAAACCUCUUUUGUCGGAGAACAAAACCCGGGACGUGUCCCGUACUGCGUGUAUCCGAAGAAAAAGCAUCGGCUAACUCCGUGCCAGCAGCCGCGGUAAUACGGAGGAUGCGAGCGUUAUCCGGAUUUAUUGGGUUUAAAGGGUGCGUAGGCGGUCCGUUAAGUCAGCGGUAAAAUUGCGGGGCUCAACCCCGUCGAGCCGUUGACACUGGCAGACUUGAGUUGGCGAGAAGUACGCGGAAUGCGCGGUGUAGCGGUGAAAUGCAUAGAUAUCGCGCAGAACUCCGAUUGCGAAGGCAGCGUACCGGCGCCAGACUGACGCUGAGGCACGAAAGCGUGGGGAUCGAACAGGAUUAGAGACCCCUGUAGUC